rnacentral:tRNA from 1 species
GCGCCCAUAGCUCAGUUGGAUAGAGCACCAGACUACGAAUCUGGGGGUCAGAGGUUCGAAUCCUCUUGGGCGCGCCA